GUAGGGGGCUAGCGUUAUCCGGGAUUACUGGGCGUAAAGGGUGCGUAGGUGGUUUCUUAAGUCAGAGGUGAAAGGCUACGGCUCAACCGUAGUAAGCCUUUGAAACUGGGAAACUUGAGUGCAGGAGAGGAGAGUGGAAUUCCUAGUGUAGCGGUGAAAUGCGUAGAUAUUAGGAGGAACACCAGUUGCGAAGGCGGCUCUCUGGACUGUAACUGACACUGAGGCACGAAAGCGUGGGGAGCAAACAGGAUUAGAUACCCUGGUAGUCCACGCCGUAAACGAUGAGUACUAGCUGUCGGAGGUUACCCCCUUCGGUGGCGCAGCUAACGCAUUAAGUACUCCGCCUGGGAAGU
rnacentral:rRNA from 1 species